rnacentral:rRNA from 1 species
UACGAAGGGUGCAAGCGUUACUCGGAAUUACUGGGCGUAAAGGGUGCGUAGGCGGCUGUUUAAGUCUGUCGUGAAAUCCCCGGGCUCAACCUGGGAAUGGCGAUGGAUACUGGGCAGCUAGAGUGUGUCAGAGGAUGGUGGAAUUCCCGGUGUAGCGGUGAAAUGCGUAGAGAUCGGGAGGAACAUCAGUGGCGAAGGCGGCCAUCUGGGACAACACUGACGCUGAAGCACGAAAGCGUGGGGAGCAAACAGG